GUGGUUGACCAUUUACUAGCUUAUCUGUACUCUUUGUGUAUCUGCCGAGCAAACCAAGGUGAGUUCACACAGCCAAGGCAUGGGAUUCCCGGGACCUUAGGUACUUUAUGGGAGCUUGCACAAGGAGGAGCAGGUCGUUGUGGGCAACGGAUUGAUAAACACUUAUUACGUUUCAAACAAUUAUACUUAUGUUGGGUUUUACAUAAAUGCUUCCGCUACACUUACUUAUGUUGGUUUUGAUAAACACCUUUCGUAUUGAUUUU
rnacentral:lncRNA from 1 species